rnacentral:rRNA from 1 species
GACGUAGGAGGCGAGCGUUGUCCGGAUUCAUUGGGCGUAAAGAGCGCGCAGGCGGCUUGGUAAGUCGGAUGUGAAAUCCCGAGGCUCAACCUCGGGUCUGCAUCCGAUACUGCCCGGCUAGAGGUAGGUAGGGGAGAUCGGAAUUCCUGGUGUAGCGGUGAAAUGCGCAGAUAUCAGGAGGAACACCAAUAGCGAAGGCAGCUCGCUGGGACGUUACUGACACUGAGGCGCGAAAGCGUGGGGAGCGAACAGG